GCCCCUGUAGUUCAACGGAUAGAACAGUCCCGUCCUAAGGGAUAGACAGAAGUUCAAUUCUUCUCGGGGGCA
rnacentral:tRNA from 1 species